GUGCUCUGCAGUGUGAGGUAGUUGGUUGUAUGGUUUCGCAUAAUAAACAGCCUGGAGAUAACUGUACAACCUUCUAGCUUUCCCUGCGGAGUCAC
ensembl:miRNA